CCCCCCAACUUUCUGAAGUUUGACCUCGAAUCAGGUAGGAUUACCCGCUGAACUUAAGCAUAUCAAUAAGCGGAGGAAAAGAAACCAACAGGGAUUGCCCUAGUAACGGCGAGUGAAGCGGCAACAGCUCAAAUUUGAAAUCUGGCCCUCGGGUCCGAGUUGUAAUUUGUAGAGGAUGUUUUUGGUGAGGUACCUUCCGAGUUCCCUGGAACGGGACGCCAUAGAGGGUGAGAGCCCCGUCUGGUUGGAUACCGAUCCUCUGUAAAACUCCUUCAACGAGUCGAGUAGUUUGGGAAUGCUGCUCUAAAUGGGAGGUAUAUGUCUUCUAAAGCUAAAUAUUGGCCAGAGACCGAUAGCGCACAAGUAGAGUGAUCGAAAGAUGAAAAGCACUUUGAAAAGAGAGUUAAAAAGUACGUGAAAUUGUUGAAAGGGAAGCGCUUAUGACCAGACUUGGACUUGGUUGAUCAUCCUGGGUUCUCCCUGGUGCACUCUUCCAGUUCAGGCCAGCAUCAGUUCAUCGCGGGGGAUAAAGGCUUCGGGAAUGUGGCUCCUCCGGGAGUGUUAUAACCCGUUGUGUAAUACCCUGCUUUGGACUGAGGUUCGCGCAUCUGCAAGGAUGCUGGCGUAAUGGUCAUCAGCGACCCGUCUUGAAACACGGACCAAGGAGUCGUCUUCGUAUGCGAGUGUUCGGGUGUUAAACCCCUACGCGUAAUGAAAGUGAACGCAGGUGAGAGCUUCGGCGCAUCAUCGACCGAUCCUGAUGUUCUCGGAUGGAUUUGAGUAAGAGCAUACGGGGCCGGACCCGAAAGAAGGUGAACUAUGCCUGUAUAGGGUGAAGCCAGAGGAAACUCUGGUGGAGGCUCGCAGCGGUUCUGACGUGCAAAUCGAUCGUCAAAUAUGGGCAUGGGGGGCGAAAGACUAAUCGAACCUUCUAGUAGCUGGUUUCCGCCGAAGUUCCCCUCAGA
rnacentral:rRNA from 1 species